rnacentral:lncRNA from 1 species
UUCUCUCUCUUUCUCUCCUGUUAGGGCUUAGUUAGAAGAAGAGGUGUUUAUAAAACAGAUAAAGUUCAGCUUGCUUGCCUUGCCUUGCUGGCUUAGAAUGUGAAAACUAUGGAAGAAGGCACACAUUCUAACGGAUGCCUGAGAAAAAUUGCCUCUUCACAGAGUGUUUGGAAGAAACACCAUUAAAUGAAAGGCAAAAAAUAAUUGCACAACAUCUCAGAAACCUUGCUCUCAGCUGCUUGAUGAGCUAUUUGUGUCUCUUCGUGGAUUUUUUUUUAUUUAGAAAAAUGGGAUGAGUCACUUUUUAUUUUCCCCUCCUUUGGAGUCUUAGAGGUUGUUUAAUCUCAAGCGAACUCAAUUCACAUUUUCCUGGCAAUGUUAGCUAUCAACUCAAAUCAUUUUAGUCAUUGCAUCAUACUGCCAGUCAGCAAGCAGGGACCUAAUUAGCUCUUUGCUUUAAUGGCAAUAGUUAAAUUUGCAUUAUUAAUUUAAAUAUUACAGACACUGUGGACUUGGGCACAUAGCUGAGAGAAAGAUGUAGAAUGAAUAAUAACUUGCUGAAAAACACCAGUCAUUAUUCCCAUCAUGUUCAAACUUUUUAGCUAUAAUGAUAUCAAUUAAAAUCCUAAUCCUGGAAAAAGACUUACUGGUUCUCUUUUGUUGUAAAAACUGCAGUUGUAUUUAAAUGCAGGGCUGGGGUAUUCAAGCUAUAUGUUGCAAAAUACAGUGGUCACACAGAUCAAGAGAUACAACUAGAGUUUUAAUUAUAUUUUUGCUUUUUUAAAAAUAUCCAAAUGAUAAAAAUGUAUGAAGUUCUUUGGCAUCCUGUCCUGAACAUUCCUAGUGUUUCGCAUGUCCUGAAGUACUGCAAUCACUCUGCAGUGUCAAAACCUGUUUGGGUUACAAGACAGAUGGGACUUUCAAAAUGAAAUGUACCUAAGACUGUUUGCUACUAUAUAUAUAAAAUGUCUCAUUUAGUCUCAUCUGUGAUUUUCCAAGAGGAAAAUGUUUCCAGGAGCAAUUUAUCUCAGUCCUACAGGUUUGUAUCACUGAAUGACCAUCUGAAAAACAGGGCUGGAAUCUUUUCUUAAAGGGAAAGUGCAUAAGUGUGUUACAGAGUUAUUUUCAAUGCAGUAGGUGAACAACAUGAAAGAGCUCUAAAAUAAAUGAAAUGCUAAAUAUGAAAAAACUGAAAAUAUGAACUUUAUAUGUUUUCAUCUGGUGUGUGAAACCUUUCAUUUGAGUUCAAAAAAUAUUUCAUACUGUAUCUGUGAAAACAAAACAACUGGUAGAAAAGAUAAAAUUAAUAGACAACAAUGCUCAAUUUUGUGCCAAAUUGUACUUUUUAGCUUCUCCUUCCCCUUAGUUACCUAAUCAGCUCCUUAUUUGAGUAAACCAGCCUAUUACUUCUUUGACAUGAAUGCCCUCCCCUCUUAAGACAGCUACCACUUUGAUAGGGCCUACAAGUCAGCUAGCUGCAAAGACUCCCUUAAUGCCCUGAACUUCGAUUUCUCUUUUAUGGCCUCUACUAUAUAUUUAUUUAUUUUGUCUUUAAUUGAAGAUCCUCAUUUCCUCUUUCAAAUAAGUUCUUUGCACUCAGACUCUGUGUCUGAUUUAUUUUUGCCUUCCUGACAAUGCUUAGUACUUGGGAGGAGCUCAGUGAUCUUGACUGAAUGAACAAGAAAUGAGCUGGCUACAGAGGGAUGAUGCAAUGGUUCAGUCAUCAAAUUUAAAGUCACUUUUGCUUUGGUUGCAUAAAAUGCAUUACUCCAAUUUUAAAAGAUGAACUAUGAUUUCAUAAUUUAUUUGGGUCAAAGACCUGAGUUCAAGCUAUACUUGAUUUUGCUCAUCAGUGGAGUGGUUCUAUCCAAGGCUCAGCUUCUUUAGCAGCAAAAUGGAGAUAGUAGUGACUUCCCAGUUAGGAUUACAUAAACAAGAACCCUGUGGUCUUGUUGGUGAAACAUGAGGUCUAAAUAACAAAACAUAUAAUGCCUCUCGAUUCACUGGAAAUUGCAGAUAAAAAUGUACAGGGUUAUAACUGCUAAUAAAUGCAGUUGCAACUGUGUUUGAUCGAUACAGCAUGGUGGCAAAGUAUAAGGUCUAAGUCUUCAAGGAGGACAGGCUAUACCAGAAGAGCAUCUAGUACUUUAGGUACCAGAUUAUUGAGUACUAGUUUAACCCAAUACUGAAUGGGUUAGCAAUCUAUAUUGUCUUAGGAUGGCAGUUUAGAGUAGUAGUCAAGAAUACGGACUCUGGAGUUAGAAUUCUUGGGUUCGAAGCUUAGAAUAAUAAUAAGUGUCUUUUAGGUCUUUCAGGAUCCUUGUAAGGAUCAAAUGGCAUAAUUUACAUAAAGCUCUUAACACAGUGGCUCUAGCCUUUGAUGAGAUCUCAAUAAGUGUUAGCUAUGAUCAAACAAUCAAAUCAUUACUAGUUCAUCUGUAUGCACAAAUAUGCUUCCUGUUGUUUUAAAAGUAAUUCUAUGUAUUUUCAUGUUUCCAAAAACAGGGGAUCUCCCUUCCCUUUUUCAAUGGACUAGCACAGGACCUGCCCACAGAGGCCCUAACUCAGUGCUCUCUGAAUGAAUGGAUGAAUGGGUACAGGUCAGUGCUCAAAAUUAACGGGCAGGAUGUGUCGAUGGGAGCCAACAAAAAUAUCGAUACUCCACUAUUUACAUGUCAGGGAGUUGAAUUAUUGUCUACUGGACUCUCCCAGACCACUCUGGGCACUGUUUUUAGUGAAGCGGACACUUGGGGUCACACUUUUGAUGACAGCAAUAAGAGUGAACACUUGGUGAGGGUUUACAAUGCACAAGCACCAUGCUAGAAGCCUUACGUGCAUUAUCAUAUUUUAUCUUACCAUAACCCUCUAACAUGAUACCAUUCUUAUUCCCAUUUUACAGGGAAUAUCACUGAGGCUCAGAGAGGUAAAAUUAAUUUGGCUGAAGUCAAACUGAACAAUGAGGGCACUGUGGCUCAAACUCACAUCACUGGAAUUCCAAGUAUAUGUACCUGACGUUACAUAAUAUUGUCUCUGUGGAAUGCUUUGAGGAAAGGAACCUAAGAUUUUGGAACUCUGAGACUAUGCUGAAUCUGCUAAAAUUUUGAGAUGCUCUCUGUUCUGGAGGUGACACGGGGUGACAGUGGUGCUCCAUAUUCCUGAAGACACCUGGAAAUAUUGUGGGACGUGCCCUGAGUUGACAUCAGGCAGGUCCUACCUUCCUGAUUGGCCCCUGUUGGUGCUUGAAGAGCCCACUGAAACAACAGACUGAGCAAAGACUUUUAAACGCUGCACGUGGAAUCUACCUCAAAGAAUAUCUAGUUCAAACUGGUCAUUUUGCAGAUGAGAAAACUGAGGUCCAGGACCAUGAAGAGUUAACAGAGGAUUAACACUAAGGCUCUGUCCCCUGAUUUCCAUCCCAGUGGUCUCUUUCCAGCACACAGGCUGUGCCACAGAUUUUAUAGGCAUCUGGAAUUUUGCUGGCAGGGUUACUUCUAAGAAAUCUUUCGGUGGAAUCUCUUUAAGUGGCCCCUGGAAUGUAAGCACUAUGGGCAGUCUGUAGUGACCCAGAGCUCCAAAACAGAGUUUCUAAACAGGCAUGGCAGCAAAUCCCAGCAACAUCAGGCAGAUGCUUUAGACAUUUAAGGAUCUGCAGAUACUGCAGAAUCCCUCAGUUGUGUGGUCAGCACAUUACAACUCACAUAACUGUAAAAUUUUGCUGCAAUAAAAAUUAUUUUUAUAAUAAAAAACAUACUGUUAUAAAAGUA